rnacentral:rRNA from 1 species
CCUACGGGUGGCAGCAGUAGGGAAUCUUCCACAAUGGGCGAAAGCCUGAUGGAGCAACGCCGCGUGGGUGAAGAAGGUCUUCGGAUCGUAAAACCCUGUUGUUAGAGAAGAAAGUGCGUGAGAGUAACUGUUCACGUUUCGACGGUAUCUAACCAGAAAGCCACGGCUAACUACGUGCCAGCAGCCGCGGUAAUACGUAGGUGGCAAGCGUUAUCCGGAUUUAUUGGGCGUAAAGGGAACGCAGGCGGUCUGUUAAGUCUGAUGUGAAAGCCUUCGGCUUAACCGCGGUAGUGCAUUGGAAACUGGGAGACUUGAGUGCAGAAGAGGAGAGUGGAACUCCAUGUGUAGCGGUGAAAUGCGUAGAUAUAUGGAAGAACACCAGUGGCGAAAGCGGCUCUCUGGUCUGUAACUGACGGUGAGGAACGAAAGCCAGGGGAGCAAAUGGGAUUAGAUACCCUGGUAGUC